CCUACGGGGAGCAGCAGUGGGGAAUAUUGCACAAUGGGGGAAACCCUGAUGCAGCGACGCCGCGUGAGUGAAGAAGUAUUUCGGUAUGUAAAGCUCUGUCAGCAGGGAAGAAGCAAGACGGUACCUGACUAAGAAGCCCCGGCUAACUACGUGCCAGCAGCCGCGGUAAUACGUAGGGGGCAAGCCGUAUCCGGAUUUACUGGGUGUAAAGGGAGCGUAGACGGUAUGGCAAGUCUGAAGUGAAAAGCCAGGGGUUAACCCUGGGACUGCUUUGGAAACUGGUAGACUAGAGUGCUGGAGAGGUAAGUGGAAUUCCUAGUGUAGCGGUGAAAUGCGUAGAUAUUAGGAGGAACACCAGUGGCGAAGGCGGCUUACUGGACAGUAACUGACGUUGAGGCUCGAAAGCGUGGGGAGCAAACAGGAUUAGAUACCCUGGUAGUC
rnacentral:rRNA from 1 species